rnacentral:rRNA from 1 species
UGCAGUCGAGCGGAUCUUCAUUAGCUUGCUUUUGAAGAUCAGCGGCGGACGGGUGAGUAACACGUGGGCAACCUGCCUGUAAGACUGGGAUAACUUCGGGAAACCGGAGCUAAUACCGGAUAAUCCUUUCCCUCACAUGAGGGAAAGCUGAAAGACGGUUUCGGCUGUCACUUACAGAUGGGCCCGCGGCGCAUUAGCUAGUUGGUGAGGUAACGGCUCACCAAGGCAACGAUGCGUAGCCGACCUGAGAGGGUGAUCGGCCACACUGGGACUGAGACACGGCCCAGACUCCUACGGGAGGCAGCAGUAGGGAAUCUUCCGCAAUGGACGAAAGUCUGACGGAGCAACGCCGCGUGAACGAUGAAGGCCUUCGGGUCGUAAAGUUCUGUUGUCAGGGAAGAACAAGUACCGGAGUAACUGCCGGUACCUUGACGGUACCUGACCAGAAAGCCACGGCUAACUACGUGCCAGCAGCCGCGGUAAUACGUAGGUGGCAAGCGUUGUCCGGAAUUAUUGGGCGUAAAGCGCGCGCAGGCGGUUCCUUAAGUCUGAUGUGAAAGCCCCCGGCUCAACCGGGGAGGGUCAUUGGAAACUGGGGAACUUGAGUGCAGAAGAGGAGAGCGGAAUUCCACGUGUAGCGGUGAAAUGCGUAGAGAUGUGGAGGAACACCAGUGGCGAAGGCGGCUCUCUGGUCUGUAACUGACGCUGAGGCGCGAAAGCGUGGGGAGCGAACAGGAUUAGAUACCCUGGUAGUCCACGCCGUAAACGAUGAGUGCUAA